AUUCCAGCUCCAAUAGCGUAUAUUAAAGUUGUUGCAGUAAAAAAGCUCGUAGUUGAAUUUCUGGGUGUGAUAGGCGGUCCGUGUGCAUAACAUGUGUACCUCCCUCUCAUGCCCAUCCUCGAAGUGAAUAUGCAUUGCCUUAACUGUGUCGUGUAUAGGACCUUCGUCAUUUACUGUGAGCAAAAUAGAGUGUUCAAAGCAGGCUUAUGCCGUUGAAUAUAUUAGCAUGGAAUAAUAAGAUAUGACUUCUGUCUAUUUUGUUGGUUUGCAUUCGGAAGUAAUGAUUAAUAGGGAUAGUUGGGGGUUUUCGUAUUCAAUUGUCAGAGGUGAAAUUCUUGGAUUUAUGGAAGACGAACUACUGCGAAAGCAUCAACCAAGGAUGUUUUCAUUA
rnacentral:rRNA from 1 species